rnacentral:rRNA from 1 species
UACGUAGGGGGCAAGCGUUGUCCGGAUUUAUUGGGCGUAAAGAGCGUGUAGGCGGUCUGGUAGGUCCGUUGUGAAAACUCGAGGCUCAACCUUGAGACGCCGAUGGAAACCAUCAGACUAGAGUCCGGAAGAGGGGAGUGGAAUUCCUGGUGUAGCGGUGAAAUGCGCAGAUAUCAGGAAGAACACCCGUGGCUAAGGCGGCUCUCUAGUACGGUACUGACGCUGAGACGCGAAAGCGUGGGGAGCGAACAGG